rnacentral:rRNA from 1 species
AUUGAACGCUGGCGGCAGGCCUAACACAUGCAAGUCGAGCGGAUGAAGGGAGCUUGCUCCGGAAUUAGCGGCGGAAGGGUGGGUAAAGCCCAGGAAACUGCCCGGUAGUGGGGGAUAAAGUUCGGAAAAGGGGGCUAAUACCGCCUACGUCCCGGGGGAGAAAGUGGGGGAUUCUCGGACCCCCCGCCAUCAGAUGAGCCUAGGUCGGAUUAGCUAGUUGGUGGGGUAAAGGCCUACCAAGGCGACGAUCCGUAACUGGUCUGAGAGGAUGAUCAGUCACACUGGAACUGAGACACGGUCCAGACUCCUACGGGAGGCAGCAGUGGGGAAUAUUGGACAAUGGGCGAAAGCCUGAUCCAGCCAUGCCGCGUGUGUGAAGAAGGUCUUCGGAUUGUAAAGCACUUUAAGUUGGGAGGAAGGGCAGUAAGUUAAUACCUUGCUGUUUUGACGUUACCAACAGAAUAAGCACCGGCUAACUUCGUG